rnacentral:misc_RNA from 1 species
GCAUUUUCGAGCCAAAAGUGUAAAACGAUUUUGGGUUGGAAAUUGCGACAAAGCAAAUAGUUAGAGCGGUUCCGGCGAUCCUGUUAAAACAGGAACCGCUCUAGAGCAUUUCCAGCAAAAGUGUGAAACGGUUUUGCGUGGGAUAAUGCGACAAAACAAAUAGUUAGAGCGGUUCCAGCGAUUCUGUUAAAACAGGAACCGCUCUAGAGUUGACAGGGCCUGAUGAUCAGGCCGGUCAGUUGGAUGGAGUGAG